rnacentral:rRNA from 1 species
UACGAACCGUACAAACGUUAUUCGGAAUUACUGGGCUUAAAGGGUGCGUAGGCGGUCAAGUAAGUGAGGUGUGAAAUCCCUCGGCUCAACCGAGGAACUGCGCUUCAUACUGCUUGGCUUGAGGGAGACAGGGGUAAGCGGAACUGAUGGUGGAGCGGUGAAAUGCGUUGAUAUCAUCAGGAACACCGGUGGCGAAAGCGGCUUACCGGGUCUCUUCUGACGCUGAGGUACGAAAGCUAGGGGAGCGAACGGG